rnacentral:rRNA from 1 species
UGGCUAAAGACGGAGGAAGGAAUGGGCAACGGUAGGUCAGUAUGCCCCGAAUAUCCCGGGCUACACGCGAGCUACAAUGGUUGGUACAAUGGGUAUCUACCCCCCAAAGGGGGACGGGAAUCUCCUAAAACCAAUCUUAGUUCGGAUUGAGGGCUGCAACUCGCCCUCAUGAAGCUGGAAUCCGUAGUAAUCGCGUUUCAACAGAACGCGGUGAAUACGUCCCUGCUCCUU